rnacentral:rRNA from 1 species
UACGUAGGGUGCGAGCGUUAAUCGGAAUUACUGGGCGUAAAGCGUGCGCAGGCGGUGAUGUAAGACCGAUGUGAAAUCCCCGGGCUUAACCUGGGAACUGCAUUGGUGACUGCAUUGCUGGAGUAUGGCAGAGGGGGGUGGAAUUCCACGUGUAGCAGUGAAAUGCGUAGAGAUGUGGAGGAACACCGAUGGCGAAGGCAGCCCCCUGGGCCAAUACUGACGCCUCAUGCACGAAAGCGUGGGGAGCAAACAGG